AAAAUCUCAAGCCAAGCUGUUUUGACAUUGGUCGAAAAAGCCUGGAUUUUGGAGUGUGGGAGGUCUGCAGGCGUCCCGAUCUUGGGACUGCCAGCUCUCCUGAAAUGCAUUAGUGGGAUGGGCAUUGCGACCAGCCUCUUCGACGUCGUAACGCGAUCGUCGUGGACUUGUGAGCUUUCCCCCCCUUGACUUUGCUAUUGGUGAAGGCUUGACCUCAAAUCAGG
rnacentral:misc_RNA from 1 species